UCGGGCGUGGCGGCAUGCGCCAGCAUGCAGUGCAGGUAGUCGGAGGUUCAAAUCCUCUCGCCCGAC
rnacentral:tRNA from 1 species